rnacentral:lncRNA from 1 species
GAGCCGGCUCGCGUUCGACUCGUGUUCGGCUCGAUAUUCGGCUCGCUCGAGCUCGACUUGAAAUUAAAUGAGCCGAGCUUGAACAAAAUAAAAGGCUCGAAAUUCAUUUCAAGCCGAGCUUGAGUAUUACUCGGCUCGUUCGAAUUAGGCUCGAAAAGCUCGAAAGCUCGAAUAUAUAUAUAUAUAUAUAUAGAGAGAGUUGAGCUGGAAUGCUAUCGGUAGCAAACGGGCUCCGUUGCCACCCAUUUGUUUUUUAUGAUGGAGCUUUCAAAUCGACGAUCGACAUCGUUGAACAUGAUCUAUAUCACUUGAAAUAUUUAGAAAUUAAAUUUCAAAUCUUUUCGACAUCAUUUACCUAAUGAUCAAAGAGUUUCAAAAUUAGUAAUUUUAAUGGUUGAUAUGAGGGGUUUUCUCGUUUAACGGUGUAAAGCUAUCCAAAUCAAUUAAAUUUUGGUUAGAAAAUUCUUUAAACUAUUUAGAAUAAGAUCUAUACUCUCGAUCAUGAUUACAAAAUUUCUAUCAUCACUUUUUAAAGGAUAUUCAUUUUCAGCCAUUCAUUUUUACGCCCACUUGAUGGACAAGAAAACAAUAUCGGAAAAAUAUGAAAUUUGAUUUCUAAAUACUUCAAGUGGUAUAGAUCAUUUUCAACGGUGCCGAUCCUCGAUUUGGAGGCUCUAUCAUCGAAAACAAAUAGAUGGCAAUGGAGCCCGUUUGCUACCUAUAGUAUUCCAGCUCAACUCUAUAUAUAUAUAUAUAUAUNACAAAUAGAUGGCAAUGGAGCCCGUUUGCUACCGAUAGUAUUCCAGCUCAACUCUAUAUAUAUAUAUAUAUAUAUAUAUAUAUAUAUAUAUAAUAUUUAUAAAUAUAAUAUAUUUUAAUUAUAUAUAGGCUUUAAUUUAAUUUGGGCCAUUAUUGUUGGCCCAUAAAAUAAAUCCAACAAGUACAACCAUACAAUUGAGCCCAACUCUAAAUUACAUAACACACUCUCUUUUUCAGACUUUCACUGUUGCACGUAACCCUAAAACAUGAUAACAUUCAAAUUUUUAAAUCCCUAAUUUUUUUCCCCUCUCUCUCUCUGAUCCUCAUCCAGUCAGACAGUCACCCUAGCUCACAUUUCUUAUAAUUAUUUUGUAUUUUGAACUAUUGAACAUGUUGCAUCAAAUUAUAGGUAAUGUUCUAUAAAAAUUAAACUAUUGAUUAUAUAAUGUCGAGAAUUUCAAUCGGCUCGUUUAGAGCUCGAGCUCGGCUCGACUCGAAAUUAGGCUCGCUCGAGCUCGACUCGAAUUAAUUUCAAGCCGAGCUUGAGCCUAGAUUUAGGCUCGAAAUUAAUUUCAAGCCGAAUUUGAGCUGACAUAAGCUCGCUCGAGCUCG